rnacentral:rRNA from 1 species
UACAGAGGGGGCAAGCGUUAUUCGGAAUUAUUGGGCGUAAAGGGCGCGUAGGCGGCCAUUCAAGUGACGGGUGAAAGCCCUCGGCUUAACCGAGGAACUGCCUGUCAGACUGGAUGGCUUGAGACCGGGAGAGGUGAGUGGAAUUCCCAGUGUAGCGGUGAAAUGCGUAGAUAUUGGGAGGAACACCGGUGGCGAAGGCGGAUCUCUGGGCCUUACCUGACGCUGAGGCGCGAAAGCUAGGGGAGCAAACAGG